rnacentral:rRNA from 1 species
AGAGUGCGUAAUAGCUCACUAGUCGAGAGGUCCUGCGCCGAAAAUGUCCGGGGCUAAAACACAACACCGAAGCUUAGGAAUUCUUUUGAAUUGGUAGAGGAGCAUUGAAGACGGAACGAAGCCAUACCGAAAGGAAUGGUGGACUGUCUUGAAGAGAGAAUGCCGGAAUGAGUAGCGAGAUUGAAGUGAGAAUCUUCAAGGCCGAAUAUCUAAGGUUUCCAGGGUAAAGCUGAUCUGCCCUGGGUAAGUCGGGGCCUAAGGCAAGGUCGAAAGACGUAGUCGAUGGAUAACAGGUUGAAAUUCCUGUACUGCAUCAAAUCAGAAAUGUGGGGACACAUGAGGGAAGCAUGAGCCGGAAAAGGAAAGUCCGGUACAAGCGCAGCAGAGGACAGAUAGGCAAAUCCGUCUGUCAACUCGAGGGCGCGAUGUGGAGCGAACCAAAGUAGCGAAGCAUGUGGAGCUUGUGUCGAGAAAAGCCGCUAUAGUGUUUGAUGUACCCGUACCGUAAACCGACACAGGUGGAUGAGGAGAGAAUCCUAAGGCCGGCGGGAGAAGCAUUGUUAAGGAACUCGGCAAAAUGACCCCGUAACUUCGGGAGAAGGGGUGCUCCAGAGAUGGAGCCGCAGAGAACUGGCCCAAGCAACUGUUUAGCAAAAACACAGGUCUAUGCAAAACCGAAAGGUGAGGUAUAUGGGCUGACGCCUGCCCGGUGCUGGAAGGUUAAGAGGAGAGGUUAGCGCAAGCGAAGCUUUGAAUUUAAGCCCCAGUAAACGGCGGCCGUAACUAUAACGGUCCUAAGGUAGCGAAAUUCCUUGUCGGGUAAGUUCCGACCCGCACGAAAGGCGUAAUGAUUUGGGCACUGUCUCGACAAUGCACCCGGUGAAAUUGAAAUACCAGUGAAGAUGCUGGUUACCUGCGCCAGGACGGAAAGACCCCAUGGAGCUUUACUCUAGCUUGAUACUGGGAUUCGGUAUUGCAUGUACAGGAUAGGUGGGAGACUAAGAGGUGAUGACGCCAGUUGUCACGGAGUCGAUGUUGGGAUACCACCCCUGCAGUACUGGGUUUCUAACCUGCGGCCGUAACCCGGCCGGGGGACAAUGUCUGGUGGGGAGUUUGACUGGGGCGGUCGCCUCCGAAAGGGUAUCGGAGGCGCUCAAAGGUUCCCUCAGAAUGGUUGGAAACCAUUCGAAGAGUGCAAAGGCAGAAGGGAGCUUGACUGCGACACCGACGG